ACCACAGUUGCUGGGCUCGAGCAGGCGGUGGUUGUGCGAGAAACGUGGGUGUCCCACCCCCGGAGGCGCUCAAGGUCAGGUUGGAUGAGUCUCAGGUCCCCUCCAGCCCAACCAUUCUGUGCUAUGACCGUAAGAGCAGCAGCAGGAGGGCGGCUCCCAGGAAAGGGUAAACCACAGCCACGGAAGUAUUGAUGCGACUAAACUUAGAAAAGCUAAAAGAGAACAUUUUGUAGGCUGCAGAGGAGCCGUGAGGAAAGAAAUCAUCUGCUGUUUGCAUCUUCCUGCAUUCAGGGAAACGGGAGCACGUUCCUUUUUCAUGAAUAACUAAAACCACAGGAGAAAAAGAAGUGCUUUGAUUUCUGGGUCUAGCAGGGGCCCACAUUUUAAACUGUUCAACCAAUAAUUGGUUCUGCUGACAUUUCUUAUUCGAAGUGCUGACGGUGCUGUGAAGCAGGCAGGCAGAGCAGCUCUAGGAGCAGGAAUGUGGGGAGGCUGCUGACCCAAGGCCUGCAACCAUACUGCUCUACCAACCUCCUCACACCCACGCGACUGCCGCAGGCCUUCAUCUGGUCAAAAUAAAAAUAAUAAGUAGCUCUCGUGCUUUUAGAUCUCUCUCUGGUGGCUGCCCCGUGAACCUUGGACUCGUAUUCCCUCAGAGGCAAAGCUGCACCUUGAUGAUUUGCUUUUGAAUUUGUGCCAUCUCCUGUGGUUUACAAGCAGGACCAGCUCAGCCUGAGCAAGGAGCAUAUACAGGCUACUUUCUCUGCAUGCUGUUUUGUCUGGAGCAGCUGCUUGAGGAGUGCUGAGUGCACUUCUCCUGCUUCCCUGCCCCAUAGCUGUACUGGGGGGAGAAGGGCCCAUGUGGCUGCUCUGUUGGACAGGUUGCACGGGAGCUGUGCUGAGGGCAGCAGACACUCCAAAGGCUCCUUGGAGACCAGGGGAGCUCUUUGCAAAGGAUAUUUCUGUUUUGCUUCAUUGUACACCUUCAUAAUGCAGUUCAGAAGAUGGGAGGAAACCUGAAAGCCACCUGCCAGCUCUGUUAUUUUCAGCACUGGUUCAGUUGGGAAGGCUUUUUAUAGCCUCCAGCCUUUAUCAGGGACCCAUUUAUCAGUACUCCUCUAGGGACCAUUGCUUCAUGAGCUUCCACCAUUCCUCCUCUGAUCUCUUAACACCCAGCUUCAGCCUCACACUGAAAAGAAAAAGGAAGCAUUCACCUCCAGAUCUCUUCCCUGGGGAGUCCACAAGCAGUAGACUGCAUUUUGCCUCAGCCUUAUCAAAACAAACAAACAGAACAACAACAACAUUCCCACUAUCGUGGUGGUCCCUUGAUCUUCUUAGUGAUGGCCCCAGGACUGUAAAGGUCAGAUAGCACUGCUUGCUAAGAGGAUCUGGCAGCAUCAGGGAGGAUAAGAAAAUACACAGCUGAGAACAAAUCAAAGGGAUAAUAAAACAGUUCUGAACAAACCAAGGGGGUGUGCUGAGCUCCUCUUUUUAGACAGCAGUAACAGAAAAGUUAAAGGUUAUUAUGAUUAUGCUAGUUUUUUUUUUCUUUGUGUUUAGCAUGAUGUGGUCUGGAAGGUAAAUGCUUAGACAUGAAAGGUUUUCUGAAUGAGGUUAAAUUAUAAUAUCAUUGUUCUUCUUAACGAAGACAAAGCAUUGUCUUCAAGGUAAAUGUUUAAUUACUUUUAAAAAAAUGGUAAUAAGGCAAAAAAGCUCAGUCUGUGUGUACAAGAACAGUUCCAGACAUCAGCAAAACAGUCAUAGGGCUUGGUGCUGGAGGAGCUAGGGGAGUACAGUGUAAUUACAGGAGAGAUAGAGGUCCUGGUGCGGUUUGGUUCUGGAUUUUAGCAGGGCUAGAAGAAAUAAUUUUGAGAAAAAUCGCUCUUUAUGGCCAUAAGAAAACAGAGAAUAUAAUAUCUACUGCUGCACAAAGCGAUAGGUGACACUGAAGGCAAAAGUUUGGCAAAGUGAUUCUGCUUGAGCCUCCUGCCUGUCUUUUAAAGUAGGCUUGGUUUCUCUCCCUCUUCUUACUGUAGGAAAUGGCCCCUCUCUGGCUACAGGAGGGGUUGGGACACCUCUCUUAGGCUGGAACAGCACUCGUCCAUAGCCAGAAAGCCUUCUUCAACUCCGAAGAGCUACUAAACUGUGUUUUUUUAGGUAUCAGAUCAAUGACAGGUUAGAACAGGCAGAUGGAAGAGAGGCUCUGUAUUGCCAGUGGAUAGUUUGAGCUAACAUGGAUAGUUUUGCAAAAAAACAGAGGGAAACAAACAAAAACACCACCACCACCUCCUAACCUCAAACCUCACCUGCAUACAGCGAGGGCUGGCGUCUAUUUAAACACUUAGCCAUGUAGGCUGCCAGGCCUGCAGCAGUUCUCAUCGCUUUGUCUAGUUGUGAUCAGGAAAGGGAGAAUCUGUACAGUCAAACUGGCAGAUGUGUUAUGCACACAAUAGCCCCAAACUUCCCUGAAGUGGGGCUCAUCUGCACGUGGUGAAAAUAAGCACAGCAAUCCCUGAAGGCCUCUAAUGACUCAGAAGAGAAGAAAUCCAUCUGGUAUUGAUUAUUCCAAGGUUUUAAAAGGCAAGCAGUGAGGACACAAGGCUCCUGAGAAGCCUAGAUAAUUAGAAACUUCGUUACCUGCUCUGUGAAUGGGAAUUGCAGAUGCACAAUGUAUGUAGUAGAGUGCUAGUGGAGCCUGCUGUUACCUGAAGGCGCAAAGCACAACAGCACUGUUGUUAGGUUAGACCAUGUAAUGAUGCAUUGCUGGGGUUGGGUUGGUAGGAGCUAUUCUAAAAGACACCAGAAGGGCUACGUUGUAAUAAUAACAUGACCACAGCAAUGCCACCACAGCAGUACAGAUACACACCCAGAUGCGUUCAGCCAACAGCACGAGUUCCCUCCAAUGAGGCAUGGAGUACCAGCCUACGCAUGGUACAAGAAAACCAAUGCAUAAAGUAGCUGAUAAAGAUGGAGUAAGAUACUUUAAAUGCACGGUGCUUUGCAGCUGCCUUCCUCCACCUCCCCCUCCAAAUGACCCUGUUGACAUCUGUUGAUCGUCUUGUGCUGCCAAGGAGCAGGCUGGCAGGCUGAAAGUAAGGAAGGAAAUUCAUUAUUUCACAGCAGGACCUGCUCAGAGUCACUGUCACACAUUACAGAUGUUGGGCAGAAGCAUCCAGAGCUCUCAUGGGUUUUGGGGUAGCCUGAUGUUCUGUGUCCUGAGCUUUGCUCUGAGGAUGCUAUAUUUUUAAACUUGUUUGCAGCUAUCUCUGUAACUGCUAUGUCAGGUAGGAAGUAAAAAGAUGCAAUUCAGAGCUCAGCAGGAAUGCACCUCCUUAUGCAAUCUGGGUAAUGAGACACGAGAACGCCUGUAACUGAAGAGUUCUGCUCCAGCCUCUGCUGCCUCUUCAUUAGCCCUGGUCCCAACAGACCGUGCCCUCGUUUUCAGAGCAUAAAAAGCAGAACUGGAAAGGCACACAGCAUCAAGGGCAGAGGGAAACAACCGUGAAAUACAAUGAGCUGCACUAGCUAAGAUUCUCCCAUCAUAGUUGUAAAGCAACUUGUGUGCUUACCCUAUUUCGGACCUAUUUGAAGUCCUUCAAUAGCUGUUAUAGAAUCUCUUCCCAUUCUCCCAUCACAUCCCAUAGGCAUCAGGUCAGCACAAUACAUAAACGCGAGGCCACAGCAGAGCAAGCAACUCAAUUCUGCCAAUCCCCCCAUAACUCAGUCUCAAUUUAUACAAUGCCAGCUGUCAGUUGGAUCACAGUGUUACAACCAACAUGAAAAAAAAGCAAGGCCCACCUGCAAUAUCACCCUCAAAAGGAGAGGUUUGGCCCUCUCAGUGCUGUUUGUGGCCAGGGACAGUCACAUCUUGCUGGUUAACCCCCACCUGCUGCCCAGGCACCCAGCAGAGGCACUCCCAGGUACCUGAGGACACAGCCUUUGGGCUUCAUUUAAUUACUCUGAGCAAUGAGAAUAUGAGCUCAGAGAAACUCUGAGUCAAUAAGCUCCACCUACAGAUUAGGGAGAACCUCCUGCUGGAUCCUAUGCCUAAUGCUGCACAGCUGGGAGGCGAGCUGGAGAACUGAUGGCUGUAAGUUGCUGUCUGGUAGCAGAGGUCAGGGCUCAGAAUUUCGGUAUGCCCCUGUAUGCUCAACAUGAAAUGAAUAGUUCUGACUCCUGCUGGACCCAGGGCCUUAAUAAAUCUAUGUGAGAGUGGACCGGGUUAUCUUCUGGCUCACGCAUCAAUCACAAAAUUACAGGUUUCUGUUUAAGGCCAUUUAAGAGUCCCGUGAUUCCAUAGCAGACAUAAAGGAAAGAGCGUGAUUUUAAAACAUGAGCCAGAUCUGCAGGUCUGUCAUAUUUUCUGCAUCGUUCUGCCUUCUUUAACCACCCACCUUGCCUUUUUGUUUUGUGUUUUAAACAUGCAUACCAAACCAAUUUGAUGUGGAAGUCCCUGACAGACGCUACACCAAGUUCCUGUAACAGCAUUCGCUCGACAUCACCUCGAUGAUAACCAUCUUCAAAACCUGAAAGCUGUCUCGUCUGAGCCUGCUCCUUUUCCUGCUUACAUGACACUUCCUUACAGGUAAAUCAAAACAGGAAAAGAACCCCAACACAUUCUCUGGUUUCUCUUGGUGAUCCACGACCACUCGUUGGCACAUCAGCUGUUCUUCUGCAGAGGUUACGUGAUAAGUAACAUUCUGUGUGCCGAAAGAUUGCCUAAUUCAAUGGUAAUUUGCAUGUUCUGCUCUGCAAAUAUAUCAUCCUUGAAUUGCAGCCUCCUCUGGGGAAAAAUGCAGGAAAUUAUGACCCAGGAAUGUGCUGCACACCACUGGGAAAUGAGACAUAAAAAGCAAAUUGCCGAACACGAGAAGUGUCACACACAGACAGAGCUUUGGUUUAAGGUCUUGUUGUUAUGCACGCGAACACUUAUUAAGUCUUGAUUCUUUGCCUGAGAUUUCUAAGCAUGUAAACACAGUUUACUACCACAGUUUCAAUUAUAACAACACGUGAGCUUAGAGGAAGGCCAUCAGUGCUAUUGGUGGGCCUUUUCUCCCAAAUAAGAUGUAGGGAUCUUUGAGGAGCAGAAAGCUAGAACUGCUUCGGGUCAGCAGUCAUCCAGGGGACUCAGAUGUAGAGACAGCAUCCAAAAAAUGACUGGGCACAGUUUCACACUGACGGGCUUUUAAACAUCAGCUCUGUUGGAGUUGCUUUCCGGGGAUAGCAAUAAGAAUUCUGCAAGAAGAGAACACACAGGAUCGACUCUGGUUGCAAUCUAGCAGGCAGGUUCCCAACAGAGCCAGCUGAGCAAUCCUUCCCCUCCCCAUGUACUUUCCCUGCUCACUUUCAGGCAGAAUGAACAUCAGCUGAACUUGAUGGAAAUUCUCUAGUUUUACAUGAUUUAACCAGAAGGCUCCAACGCAGCUGAGAAAAACUCACGUGAAGUGAGGAUGGUGAGAGCAAGGCUGAAUUCCCAGCUCUUUGUGUAAUGAAGCAUGCUGGCAAUUAUUAGAUUUAGAUCUUUCUGUAAGGGGAAUAUUGAUGGAGAAAGUGCUGUGUAUACAGUUGUUUAUUUGAAAAACUAAUCCACAAAAAAAAAAUCUAUUAAAACCCUGCACCUCUGGGACUGUCUUUGAAAGGCAUGUGAUGUGAUGUGACUCAAGUAGAGAAGUGAUCAGCCUGCAAUAAUUUAGAUGUUCCUGUUGCUAUGGAUACUUUUUAUAUAUAUAUUUUUAAGUGAAGCAUACCAUUAUAAUUGAAAUUUCCACUAACAACAACAAAAAAAAGCAGCUUACUGAAAGUAAUAAAAACCCAGUGACAAAAUUGUUUUAUUUUUUACUGUCAAGUUUUAUGCUCGUGCUGUGACAGCACACAGAAGUGAUACAUUUGCCACAGCUGAGGUUUAAUGCUUUUACACUUCUUUUUGUGCGUUGCUCCGACUGGGGCUCACACUAUGAGCGUGCAAUGCAGGCAAUAGCCGAGUGACAGGCCUGCUGCUGCAAUGUCACAUUAGAAUUCACACUGCUCAACAGGAGGAGGGUUUUGUUUGAGGCAAGACCCGAGAAGAAGCAAGUUUGGGGGCUGGUGAGGCUGUUAGGAAUACGAAAACACAAUAGUAUGAGUCAAAUAGCUCCUGCAAAGUAUCCCUGCAAAGAAAAGGGCUUGGAGUGGCAUGAACAGAAAUAGGAUUAUUAGCAGCCACGCCAGCAACUGCCCCUGUGAUUUGCAGGGAGAGGGCAUUUCUCUGCUGAUUGCAGGCAGUGACAAAACUUCAUCCCAGGAUCAUCCUUUCACACUGCUUGAGACUGGAGUUUUUGUUGGGGAUGAAACUGCUGAUAGCAAUGGCUGGAAAGAGAAACGACCCUCAGAAGCAGAGUGGGAGAUCUGCAUUUCAGUUUGCAGAGUGGCUGAGAGCCCCAAGGGGACAGCAUCAGCCAGAGCUCAUUUCAAAGGAACAAACAGCCACAUCCAGCAGCAAAGUACGCUAUUUGAUGUGUAACCACCGACACGUUUUUCUGCAUGGAUGGCCCUGCAAACAACCUCCUCUUCUCCAGUUGUUUCCAGUUGCUUACUGCUAUGCACCAAGGGAGAAAGAAAACCCGACCAGGUAGAAAUACAAAGUUUUCUAUGCAUUGAAGAUGCCGUGGUAAGAAGUAAAGUCAAACCAGCACAAACACUCCAAAAAGAAAAAAAAAGGUAGAACUUUUAUUUUUCUCCAUACAUUCUUUCUUUUCCUUAAAAAAUAUCUACAUACAUAUAUAGCAUUGUGUGUAUCAGCAUAUGCUCCUCGUAUCUCUAGAAAAGAAGAAAUAUCAUUGUACAGAGAAAGCCUCGCAGUCCAUGCCUGCAAUACAGUUUCUUUCUUAGAGAGAUGAGCAGUCCCAGAGCUCAGCACAAAGGCGUUUGCUACCACCACUUCUGUUCCUUUAGCACUGCUUCUGCAAUGGGCCCACGUCCCUACCUCUGCAGAACGGGCAAACUCUGAGCAACUCCUUCAGUCA